rnacentral:rRNA from 1 species
GACGAACGCUGGCGGCGUGCUUAACACAUGCAAGUCGAACGGAAAGGCCCUUCGGGGUACUCGAGUGGCGAACGGGUGAGUAACACGUGGGUGAUCUGCCCUGCACUUUGGGAUAAGCCUGGGAAACUGGGUCUAAUACCGAAUAGGACCACGCGCUUCAUGGUGUGUGGUGGAAAGCUUUUGCGGCGUGGGAUGGGCCCGCGGCCUAUCAGCUUGUUGGUGGGGUAAUGGCCUACCAAGGCGACGACGGGUAGCCGGCCUGAGAGGGUGACCGGCCACACUGGGACUGAGAUACGGCCCAGACUCCUACGGGAGGCAGCAGUGGGGAAUAUUGCACAAUGGGCGCAAGCCUGAUGCAGCGACGCCGCGUGAGGGAUGACGGCCUUCGGGUUGUAAACCUCUUUCAAUAGGGACGAAGCGCAAGUGACGGUACCUAUAGAAGAAGCACCGGCCAACUACGUG